AGAGUUUGAUCCUGGCUCAGGAUGAACGCUAGCUACAGGCUUAACACAUGCAAGUCGAGGGGCAGCAUGUUGGUUGCUUGCAACCAACGAUGGCGACCGGCGCACAGGUGAGUAACGCGUAUCCAACCUACCCUUGUCCAUCGGAUAACCCGUCGAAAGGCGGCCUAACACGAUAUGCGGUUCACAGCAGGCAUCUAACGUGAACGAAAUGUAAGGAGAAGGAUGGGGAUGCGUCUGAUUAGCUUGUUGGCGGGGUAACGGCCACAAGGCUACGAUCAGUAGGGGUUCUGAGAGGAAGGUCCCCCANAUUGGAACUGAGACACGGUCCAAACUCCUACGGGAGGCA
rnacentral:rRNA from 1 species